UACGUAGGGUGCAAGCGUUUGUCCGGAAUUAUUGGGCGUAAAGAGCUCGUAGGCGGCUUGUCGCGUCGGCUGUGAAAACCUGGGGCUCAACUCCGGGCCUGCAGCCGAUACGGGCAAGCUAGAAUUCGGUAGGGGAGACUGGAAUUCCUGGUGUAGCGGUGAAAUGCGCAGAUAUCAGGAGGAACACCGGUGGCGAAGGCGGGGUCUCUGGGGCC
rnacentral:rRNA from 1 species